GACAGAGGUGGCAAGCGUUAGGCGGAAUCACUGGGCUUAAAGCGUGUGUAGGCGGAUUGGUAAGUCCCUUGUGAAAUCCCACGGCUCAACCGUGGAACUGCUGGGUAUACUGCUUAUCUUGAGCCACUUAGGGGCUGUCGGAACAAAUGGUGGAGCGGUGAAAUGCGUAGAUAUCAUUUGGAACGCCAAAGGUGAAAACAGACAGCUGGGAGUGUGCUGACGCUGAGACACGAAAGCCAGGGGAGCGAACGGG
rnacentral:rRNA from 1 species